UGCCAGGCACCCUACGCCUUUGCACAGU
rnacentral:piRNA from 1 species